GACGAACGCUGGCGGCGUGCUUAACACAUGCAAGUCACGGGGGCUCGCAAGGGCAACCGGCGAACGGGUGCGUAACACGUGAACAACCUGCCCUCGUGUGGGGGAUAGCCGGGCUAACGCCCGGGUAAUACCGCAUACGUUCUCGUGGGGGAGUCCCUGCGGGAGGAAAGCUCCGGCGCACGGGGAGGGGUUCGCGGCCUAUCAGCUAGUUGGCGGGGUAACGGCCCACCAAGGCGACGACGGGUAGCUGGUCUGAGAGGAUGGCCAGCCACAUUGGGACUGAGAGACGGCCCAGACUCCUACGGGAGGCAGCAGUGGGGAAUCUUGCGCAAUGGUCGGAAGAUUGACGCAGCGACGCCGCGUGUGGGAGGACGCCUUUCGGGGUGUAAACCACCGUUGCCCGGGACGAACUGGCUUAUUCGUAAGCCCUGACGGUACCGGGUGAGGAAGCACCGGCUAACUCCGUGCCAGCAGCCGCCGUAACAC
rnacentral:rRNA from 1 species